rnacentral:lncRNA from 1 species
UUUUUGCUGUAACAAAUAUGAAUUUUUUGUUUAAGUAUAAUAAUUUAAAAUGUUUUUUCUAGAGAAUGAAGUACUGCCACUAAGGUAAAGGUGCUAACUUGCAAGGAGCUGUUCUCAAAACAUUGGGUGACAAAGAAUUCACUUUUACAAAAAUCGAGCAGGAUAUUAAAGACAGCGAACUAUAGAACAAAUAUGGCGAAGCUGCAUGAAGUCUAUGUUGAAUUUUAUUAUUGAAAAAAAAUAUGCUCUUCAGAUUUAAUGUUAGUUUUUAUUGUUUAACAGUAAUUGCAGUUUUCGAAUACCUGUAAAAUAAACCUAAUUCUUAAAUUAA